CGGUCUGUUUGAUUGUACAUAAAAUUGAAUAGAAUGUUUUUGUUUUCAGAUGGUGUUACCUCUGAUGAAUGAAGGAGAAGCAAUAUGACAUUACACGAUGAUUCAUGUCAAUGAGUUUCGAAUAACCUAAAAGGAAAGGAUUUUUCUGAUCAGAAUAUGAAGAGUUGUGAAGAAUCAAGUGGAAAUACAAUUGUCCAUGUUCCUGAUUAAGAAGUAAAAAGUGUGUUUGAUUCAACAACAGUAAAGAAAGAUACAAGCCAGCAUAGUUUACACUUGGAGGUGAAGUCCCUUUGCUUACAAGCUUUCCAUAUGCCGAAGAUGUUAUUAAAUAAUGACAAUAUUCAUUUUGAUAUAAGUUCAUUGUCUUAACUCAACUUUUAAAAGUCUAUGUUGUCAAAUUCAUGAGAAUUUAUUGAAUUAUGAACUAUUUAUAAAGAACUGUGUACAUGUAUCUUGAAAUUUUUAGAAGUGUUUUAAAGUAAUUAAGGAAUAAUAUUUAAUAAAAGUGUUAAA